rnacentral:miRNA from 1 species
GAAAGAAUGGCAGGGCAAUUCUCCUUUGGCAAAGAAGAAGUAAGCAUUUGCAUGGAUACCUUGCCAAUAGAGAACAACCCUGUUACUCCUUC